GGACCUGCAGCAGCCACAGGAGCUGACCUUCACCGUGGAGGAGACCACCUGCCAUGCCCUGGGGACAGGCACCACCGCCUGCAAGAGCCUCUGGCUUGGGCCACUGACACACUGCCAGGGCUGGGUCUUCCUGGAGCAGCAGCAGCCCAUGGUCGAGCUCUCCUGCAAGAAGGGAGCUGCUUUGCCCCGAAUCAAGACCUCCAAGCUCAAGAACUUCUUCAGCAAGCUGAAGGAGCGUGUCAGGAGCUUCUUCCAGUGCAGGAAUAUCUGGAUCCGUGACAAGCUCAACCUCAGAGUCCCCAGGCCCUGAGUGGUGACACCACUGUGA